ACGCUCGACACCUACGGGAGGCAGCAGGUGGGGAAUAUUGCACAAGUGGGGGAAACCCUGAUGCAGCGACGCCGCGUGAGCGAAGAAGUAUCUCGGUAUGUAAAGCUCUAUCAGCAGGAAGAAAAUGACGGUACCUGACUAAGAAGCACCGGCUAAAUACGUGCCUGCAGCCGCGGUAAUCUGAGCGGGCUGGCAAGGC
rnacentral:rRNA from 1 species